rnacentral:rRNA from 1 species
AGCGAACGCUGGCGGCAGGCUUAACACAUGCAAGUCGAACGGGCACUUCGGUGCUAGUGGCAGACGGGUGAGUAACACGUGGGAACGUACCUUUCGGUUCGGAAUAAUUCAGGGAAACUUGGACUAAUACCGGAUACGCCCUUCGGGGGAAAGAUUCAUCGCCGAUAGAUCGGCCCGCGUCUGAUUAGCUAGUUGGUGAGGUAAAGGCUCACCAAGGCGACGAUCAGUAGCUGGUCUGAGAGGAUGAUCAGCCACAUUGGGACUGAGACACGGCCCAAACUCCUACGGGAGGCAGCAGUGGGGAAUAUUGGACAAUGGGCGCAAGCCUGAUCCAGCCAUGCCGCGUGAGUGAUGAAGGCCUUAGGGUUGUAAAGCUCUUUUGUCCGGGAAGAUAAUGACUGUACCGGAAGAAUAAGCCCCGGCUAACUUCGUGCCAGCAGCCGCCGUAAAAC